ensembl:lncRNA
CUUUGUGGAUUUGUGGGAGUGAUGGGUAUGAUAUAAAUUUACUUAAACUUUGGGAAAAACCUUGUGUAUCAAAAUUUUUCACUGCUGUCUUUGAGUUGAGGGUGCCCUAUCAAUUAAUAAGGAAUCACUUCUAUCAGUAAUUAAGACUGCAGAGAGGUGAUUUAAUAGGUUUAUGAAUCUGAGUGCCAUAUUUUGUUACUGAUUGCUUUUCUGUUUAAAUCUUCAAGUCACAGACAGGGUGACCUUUUCCUCCAUUUCUUCCUAUUUAUACUUUUGCUAUCAACUCUGUGGUUUAGGUGAUCAUUUUUUUUAAAAUCAUUUUUGUUUCAGUGGCCUGUGCUGUUCCCUGGGUAUCUUCUUCCUAUGAUCAAAGAGUUCAUUUUGUUGCUGGAGCUGUGGUUUUACCUUCUCUCAGGACUGUUACAAAUACACACCUCUGAGCUCAUGGAGUAGCUCUUUCACCAGCUAUUUGUCGGUGUACAGGCUUUGAUGUCUGGUGUUUUGGGUUAGCUGCUGCUGAGAUCAUUUACCCUGGGGAGGUUUAGCAGGUUUAUAGGUGCUGCUGUGAGUUCCACACCCGUGGUGUAUCGCUGCUCUUGACGUUUUAAGUGCCUUCUCCAGCUGUGCAUAAAUGGGAAUAUUCCUGUUGCCAUCCCAGGUGCAGUUGGGCAGAAAGUCCAGCCUGGGUGUCUCUGCUGUAGAGGGACAAGGAGCUGGUUUGCAUUGCAGCAAAAAUGUGAUCCAGGAGGGUUUGCUGGUACCAAAUUCUCUUAGCUUUCCCCUCUUGGAAUCUGCUUCCAACCCUCCUCCUCUGCCUGUUAGUUUUCAUAAAGAAAAAAGUUGUUCUUUCACACAAUUGUUUUGUUGUAUUCUAAGCCUCAUCUGUUUACACCAUGUACAACUGAGAGAGAUUAGGUGUGGGAAAGAGGGGAAAAGAAACCUCUGGGGCCCUUGUGAGCUCUGAAAACCAUUUCUCUCUGUUUCUGAGGUGCCCUAAAAUGCCUCUUCUCUAAUAUGAGCUGCUCUGUAGGGGUUUUCUUAAUCUUCUGUUAAAUUAGUGGUACUAUUUUUGUUUGGCUUAUUUUGAUUGGGUUUUUUUUCCAUAUUUUGCUCUACUGUAGAUGUUCUUCAUCAGGAGGCAGAGCUGUGGAAAAACAGGGAGAUGUCCCUCUGCCUCCCUGUUUUUCCUGCACUGUGUAUUGGUGCUUCAUUUGGCUGUUGUCUUUCAUGAAUAGUGUGGCUUUUACAUCAUUCCAGUUGGGAACCAGUGUGGAGGAGGGGAAUGAAGUAAUCCUUCCUCAAAGGCAUCUCUUGCUGUAGAAUUAGUCAGUACUGUGCUUCUGCCUCACCUGGUAAAACUGCUGGCUCAUACCUUUCAGGGUGAAUGUCACCUGGCACCCCUGGGAAGGGUUUAAUUUUACAUAUUUUAGAGUUGACACUAAAUAUUCUAUGCCUGUCUUGUUUUACUCAGACUCACCAGGAUGACCAAAGAAGCCCAUGUAGAAAUAGUUCCUAUAGAAUAUCUGACAGCAGCUGAAGGAGAUGUGUCUGCAGGACAGCAGUGUUUUAUUCUGACUGCUGAGAAAACAGAAUAGCAGCACAAGCAGUACUUAUGUUCCUAUCCGUGUAGUCAGAUGGGAGCAAAACGAAUCAGGAUUCUAAGUAUGAAAGUAAAUUUGGGAUACAAAGUUAAAAAGGCACACAAAUUAUGGCAGUUUUUGGUUCUUUGUAGAAAACUUUGGUAAUAUUUGAUUAACAUGUCUUGUUAAAUGCAGACAGACAACAGAGCACGUAAUUCUUUUGGAGAAGAGAGCACUUAGCUUUCACAGGACAAAGGGCAGGAUUUGGAAGUAAAGAAGGAGUUGUGUGUCCCUUGAUAACCACAUUUGACAGCAAAGCAGCGAUGCUGGAAGAAACUUCAUAGCUUUAUUUUUCUUUGUGCAUAAGGUCACUGACUCCACCUGGUUCAGCUGUUCAUCCCCUAUGUGUGAAGCUUUUUAUACUUUUAUAAAACCAAAUCAACAACAAAAACCCCCUGAAAUAUAGGUUAGGAAUGGAUGUGACCUAAUGGAAUAAUUAGAACUGUUCAGUUUUGUGUGGGAUUUUUUAUUGCUUCGGCCAAGUCAAAACCUUUUAUAUUGUAUGGAGUCCUGAAAGUUUUCCCAAAAACAUUCCAGUCACUGGACCAGAUUAAUGGCGUUAGAAAACCACCUCCUCUGGUAGGAUACAUCUGCCCCAACAUCCCCUUUAAUUACUGGGGGACUGUCAUCUCUGGGCUUCCUUAGUAGCUGAUGCACCUCCCCAGGGUGAUAAAGCUGGCCAGUCUUUAGUUCUUGCCUGAGGUUAAGAUUAAUUGCCUCUGAGCAGUGUGUCAGGAUUUUUGCACUGACUCUGAAUGUAAUCUAGGAUUGAGUAGUUUGCACCUGGGUUUCUUACACAAAUAGUAAUAAGUGUUUAGCAUCCCUUUAUCUCUGAACAAGGUCUGCAGGUAAAAUAGAACUUUUUAAACACUAUGCACAAAAAAAGUUCUGAAAAAGCUACAGGAUUUCAGUGCUAAUCAAUGCUUGAUUUUCUCCCAUGUCUCAGAGAAGGUAUUGUACCUCAUCUUGAGCUCUGAAAGUCCCUUUUACCCCUCUUGAGAAGAACUGGGGGGGCUGCAGAGACUGGGAUGUGACUGAAAUUGGUGGUGGAAUUGUUCUCCUGUGCGCUGAGAUUGUGUUUAUUAUCCAGCUUUGCAACAGUUGAAGCACAGCAACAAACUGCAGAAUAGCAAACAGACCCUCUUCCCCCUUUUCCUUCUAUUUUUCCCCUUCCCCCUCCUUUUUUUCUCCUUUCCCCUCCAUUUCUUCCCCGUCUUCUCCUCCCUUUUCUUCCCCUUCCCCCCCACCCUUUUUCCUCCCCUUUUUUCCCAUUUCCCCCACUUUUCCUGCUUUUCCUUUCUUAUUCUUCCCUGUUCUUCUCCUUCCCCUUCUCUCCUCUUUUUCCUCCCUUUCGACCCCGAAAUCCUGUAGUCCUCAUUCCUGAGUAUCCUCUGCCCGCUUGUCCCAGCGAGCAGAGCAGGAGAUGUUUGGGUGCUUUGCCCAGGAGCAGCAGGAAGGCUGUUCCCAGCUGGGGCCGCCUUGCUCCUCGAGAGGCAUGAAAUGCUUGGGCAGCGACUGUGCUUGGGACUUUCUGCCUCUUUGAACUGCGCCUCUCUCCAGAGGAAGCUGGCGCAGGCAAAUACAGAGGAGGAGUCUCCGGGCCUGUUGGGGCAAGAACUUGUUUUGCCUUGAAACUUAAUGUGAAGCUUUGGCAAAGCUGAAGAUGAAAGGCAGUGGGUGAAUGAUGAGUGUUCAGUCAUUUCUGAUGUGUAUUGCUGUAUCUGGGGGGCCAAAGUUCAGCCAAGAUGGCUUUAUAACUCCCUUGCUUGUUCUGGGCAAGUGACACAAAUAUUAAUCGCGGGGUUGAACUUUGUAUUUAUUUCCCAUGCUGGGUUGGGAUGUGUUUGUAGUGUCAGUGUUCGGUUGUUUGGGGUUUUCCCCCUUCAAAACUCAAGAUAAAGUUGGACUUUUGGGAGAGAGGGCAGAUCUUGUUAGCAUUUUAAGUUGAAAUUAGCAGAAUUUUCCAGGAGGACUGAAAUGAUACUUUACUGCUGUUGUGGUUGACUCCAUUGAUUUUAUGAUGUCUAUUCUAGGAUUGAGAAGCUGCACAUUUUCCUUUGCGCUUCCUCUAAACAGCUUCUUUUCUUCAAAGGAGUGAGUACAUCAGAGAGCUUCAGGCACUUGAGUUACCAGGCAGCUCCAGGUACUAAAAAUGGGCAGGGAGCCACGUGAAGCUACUGAGAAUUCAGCUGACAGACCUAGAAAGAAACUGUAAAUUGAGACAAGUUAAACCAGCUCUGAACAGGCAAUGCCAUUGUUUGUGUUUCUGUUUAAUAAGUGAUUAUUUAUUUCCUGGGAGUACAUUUGUGAAAGGGGAAUGUUUUCCAUUUUCCAGCCACAGUCACUGAUGUGGUCAGCAUGGCUUGUGUUUUGGUUGGGCAAAAUAUGAAACAAGAGCCACAUGAUCAGCUUGGAAAAGCAUGCUGUUUUUCUGGGAUGUUCAAAAAGGAAGCCUCUCUGCUUCCUUAAAUACACCUAUACUAUGUUAAAGAAUUAGUGGCACUGCUCUUCUGUCUGUUGUCCCAGUUCUGCAAUGCCAUCAGUGUUACAUGGUAUGUAAAUCUCUACAGCCCAGAAAAACAGCUGAAAACUCAUUUGACUUGGAUGAAAAGGCAUUUGUGUGGGUAUCAGUCUAAAGGCUGGCAAAAUAAAAAUCUUACCUUGGUUGAGAUAAAGGGGUAGCUGGAAUUCAGAAUAGGUAGCACUAGUUUGGUCAACUGUUAGAAAGGCAAAACUGAUUCAAGUUCUGAAGGCCAGUGAUGCUUUUUUAAUAGCCGCUGUCUUUAAAAGAAGCCUUUUUCCUUGGUGGUUGCUCCUAGAAGGUCAAAAUCGCCCAUACUGUCCUCAGAGGAGGUCCUGUCCUAUGACAAGCGCUGUGUUUGGGAGUGGUGUGUUGAGUGCACAAAUAAGAAACAGUCAGAAAUAGCAGUAUUCUUUAUUGUUUAGGGUAAAGAAUAGCUGCCACCAGAGCAGGAAAAAAUGGAAACCAGAGGAGUAAUAGAAAGUGGCGAUGACAGCGAUUGCUGCCGGUGUAAACAAUUAACACUAUUCAUUUUGGAUAAAGCCCAAUCAUAGCAUUUCCAAGAAAAGGAUAAUUCUUCCCCUCUACCAGCAACCACACCAAGCAUCUUGUGAUGCACAGCCCUUGGUUCCUAUCUCUGGAUCCUUUUUAGCUUUCCUUGGGGUUUCUUUUCUUAUUUCAGUGCUGUAUUUAUUUCCUGAUGUUUUUGUUUUAUUGCUCUCUGCUCCCUCUAAUUUAUUUGGGGUGACACUUUUUCUGUGAGUGGGUGUUUCAGUCAGCCCACGGUUACUCCCUGUCUAAGAGGGCUGAUGUGGAAGCAGAAGGUGAACUGCUGGGACAGCUCUGGAGCUUUGGGAAUGAUUCUCUCUCAUGGUGUAAAGUUGCUGCAAUGGACAAGGAAGGAACUGAGAAUUAGGGCACAUGUGGGGUCAUGCAGCUGUUUCUGCCUUGGCUCUCAUUCCUUUCAGUUUCUCUGCACUUGCAGUGUGCUGAAAAUUGACUUUGUGGAAUAGCAGAACUUGGGGCCUUUUUGUAGACAUCCUCUGGCACUUUCAGGAACAUCCCAGUGGUGUUUUCUAAGUGUUUCUGUGUUGCUGGUAGGGAGCUCAGCUCAGAGCCACCAAGGUGUGGGUGCUUUGGAGCCCAACCCUCUUACACUUCUGCAGUGCUCUUCUGCUCAUACUUUAUACUCCACUGGUGAGUUUGGGCUGUGCUUGUUUCUCAUUGGCUCUGUGUUGAUUUUGGCUGGAUGUUGCCUACUCUUGUUUGAAUGAAUUCAAAACUUUCCGAACAGCCUUACAAGGUGGAAGUUGCAUCUGUCUUCACUGUAUUUAUUCAUUUACUGUAUUGCUGGGAACCCACUCUGCUCUGCAAAGAACUGUUCAAAUUAGAACAAAGUUUUCUUGGAAGCCAAAAGUAAAAUGUUGCCAUUUAACUUGCAGAGGGGCAAAAUAGUUCUGUCUGAGCUGUAGGAAUGACAGUUUCCCAGGAAAAGUUAAUACUUCCAAGUACUCCUAACUCUGUUUUUACAUCAUCAGAGACUAUUUAUGCUCUGUCAGCUUGAAGUUACAUUAUCUGAAGUGUGUCAAGUCAGAAUGAUGUCAUUGCUUUUAUAGUCUCUCUCUUCUUGAAUGUCGCCUCAUCUACUACUUCUUAAUUCCAUUUCUGUCACUCUUUCCAUCCCUCAUCUCUUUCUUGGCUUGCCAGACAGCACUGCAAAACUAUCAGACUUGCUUUCCAAUUGAAGUCACUGCAGCUUAGCUCACAGCCAGCUUUGCAGCAUUAGUCAGGAAAACUUUGACUGUAGCCUGUCGCUGAAUUCCAAGGGAGAUGUGGCUGCCUGCAUGGGAGGGAUGUGCUGGAGAGAAAUCCAAGGGUGUUUUUGUGCAGGGGCUUAUACAGAUAAGGGCACUGGGAGAUUUUCUUGGUUUUCUCCCUUACAAAAAAUUCACAGGUUUUUUCUUUGCACCACGUACUGCUGUCUUGUCUCAAGAGUUACCAGAGAAGUAAAAGUUUCCAAAAAAGGAGGGAUGCAAAUCACAGAAAUGCAAUUAAAGUAGCAAAAGGGAGGUGCAAGGCAGACAGAUUUAUCCAUUUGGAACUGUACAGUAUGUCAAGUUCUGAUUCAAAACCUUGUGGGGUUCUUCUGUUUUUCUUUGCCAUGUUGUUUGUAAAAGGGAUUUUGUGAUAACUCACCUACAGCAGAGAAAAUUCUGUAGCAUAGAUAAGAGUGCCUGGGAGGGAGGAAAAAAAAGAGGCCUGGAUGUAAAUGAGUAAGAGUUUAUUCUUGUGGGUUGUUUCCCUCAGGGAAUGUCCACAUGAGGUUCUGAAACAGAGCUUUCUUCUCUUUAUUUUCACUGCUGGGAUUUUGUGUGACACUGGGGGUGGCAGUGGAAGGGGAGGCUGGAAAUGGUGGUAUUUUCUUGAGUAAUAAAACAGGAGAGAACAGAAUUGGAGAUGGGAAAUAAGGCCAGGUCUCACAAGAUUUGGAGGUCUCAUUUGAGCCUAAACACAAUUGUGCUUUAUGUCACAGCAAAAAACCCUAAAUCCAGCCAAAUUCUGAAAUAUAAGCCUCUACUGCUGCUAAGAAAGCAAAUAUUAACUGCAUUUUUAUUAAAGGGAAGUUGAGUUUUUCAGUGUAUGAAAUCACAUUAUGUCUUUGUGCUAAGUUUGAGACACCGUAAAAGCCUCUAAAAUAUUUACCUUGGAAUUAUGUUGGAAAGAUUGUUAUAUAGACCCAAUAUACAAGGUGGUUUUGUCUGAUGUUUGAACUUAUAAAUGGGUUUCUGACUUUAACUUUGGAAAUUGCCUUGCCUUUUAAAAAAUUAUUUAUUUAUUUAUUUAUUAUUUUUUAGCAAGCUAGUUCAUGUAUUAAAUUGAAAUCUGUAUAAAUUACAGUUAAUUAUAGUCGGCUCAGAGUGAAGCCUAAAAUAGGUUACAUGCUGUUUGGAAUAAAAUGUGCUGAAAAUGAUGAAAGCUGUUUGGUUGGGCCUGAAGUCCAGUCUGAGGUGUUUGAUCCUCCCCUGGCUGCUGCUCUCCCAUCUUCCUCAUGUCUACUAUGGCAGGUCUGCUGGCUAGGCAAUGAAGUUACAAGGUUCCUUGGAAGGAAAAAAGGAGGGUGUGAGACUGUUGAGCCUUUUGUCUUUAGGAAGAGAGGCUGAAAUGGUUUCUCCUGUUCAUUUGAGACCAACCAAAAUUCUUCCUCAAUGUUGUCACAUUAUCCAAAUACCAAGGGGAAAGACAUGCUAUUUACUAAAAUAAAAAACAUCUAGCACUAAACUUACUGAAGUCCUUUCUUUUUCUCCCUGGAAUUGCAUUUUGGGUCCUGACUUUGAGGGGACAUUUGCUGUCCCCCCUGUUUGGAAGGGAUGGUGGCAGAGCUGCCCGGUGAGUCAGCAGGGGCUGCUUAACCCUGUCCCAGCACAUUCUGUCAUGGUUUUGUUUAUGGAUGAUACAGUCUGUGGCUGUUUGUUGUCCUUCAGCUGAAUUAGUGCUUUAUGCCAGUUUUUAUUAUUCUGAAUCCUAUUGAAUUAAUUACAUUAAAACAACUUCACUAGAGACCUUGAGCAAGAGUUAUUUCCUGCAGCACAUCUUCCUGCAUUUAUGUAGUGACUUAAUGAAUGCCUGCACACUUCCCACUGUUCAGCUAUUGUUUCACAUUCCUGCAUGCAUGUCCUUGACAGGAACUAAUUAUUAGUUUAAUUGUAUGCAAAAAUAUUUAUGCAUUACAUUUUUAAAGCAUUAUUGCAGUAGGUACUUGUAAAAUCAUUUCCCAAUAAAAACACGAGAUCUAAAAGGGCACAUGCAGUAGGGUCUGACCUGCAGUGCACCUGGGAAGCUUUUUGGAAAGCAAAUUACUUUGAAAAUAACUGUGGACCUGAGCUUAGUCAUUCUGCUUCCUGACUGCAGUGGCUGCAGUGUAAGUAGAAGAGGUUUUAUUCUUUACCUUGCACAAACCUGGGUGCUGUUUAAACCCAGCUGUUUUUUUCUUCCUGUUCUCUCCUCAAUCACUGACCCAAAUUUCUGUGCAAUUGGUAACAGAAUAUUCAGCCAAUUUCUGUGCUUAGGUAAGGCUGAGAUUAAAAACCUGUCCUCGGUGAGUGGUGCAGCCCUGGAACAUCCUGGGGGAUUUGCUGUGGGUGAGGAGGUGAAGUCGCAGUUGUGCUCACUUGGUUUUGUGACUAAAGGAGGGAGCACAUUUGGCCUUGGGCAGCUUUCAGGAGCUGUGUUGUUGGGCAAGAUGUUUGUGUGGAGUUAUUUUGAAGGAUAAAACUGGUUCAAAAACUCUGUUCUUUCCUAAGAUGUACUUUUCUAGUAGCGGUUAAGAUGCACAUGGAGGAGCCUGAGGAACACACCCCAGACCCCAGCCUUUCACUUGUGGCUGAGAGGAGGCUGAUACAGUGUGGGAGGCCUUGAGCUCCUGGCUGGAGAGGGUGAAAUUUCUCCCAGUCACCAGCACCAGAAGUGCAUUAUGAAUGUUUCUCAGACUUGGCCAUCCAGGGUGGUGGGGGCUGGCUUUGGUGUAUCUCAAGUCCCAGAGGAAGUUGGGCUUCAAGUUAACAUUCUGUCUACCCCUGAAUGAUUUGGGGAACUCUGCAUUACAAAAAGUAAACCAUUGGAGCACUGAGGUCACUCAUUAUACUUGAAGUUUUGUUGAAAACUCACCAACAAAGUGCAUUUGUUUUCCUUUGCUGGCAUCACGUUCUGCUUGGAACUGCCAGAGCUCCAGGAAUGGUUGGACAAUGCUCUCAGGGACAGGGUGGGAUUGGUGGGAUGGCUGAGCAGGGCCAGGAGUUGAACUCGGUGGUCCUUGUGGGUUCCUUCCAACUAGGAUAUUCUGUGAUUCUGUGAAAAUGGGGAAUACUUUCCAUACUCACCAGGGCUGUAGGGCACUGUUAGUUCCUAACCAGAGCUGCCCUACUCUCUGGCUGAUGGAGCUGCCAGUUCCCUGUCUUUCCAGUAGCACUGCUGUGUUUCCUCUGGAUCAUCACUUACCAGGCUAAGCCUGGAGGAGGAAAAAAGGCUUGCCAUAGGAACCAGCUCAGGUAAUGAGGUGGCUGAUGAUGUCAUCCAGUUAAAGCUUAAUAAAAUUUAUUAUAAAAGAUUUCCUAUCCUUGAAUAUUUCAAUCUGUGGCCUUUCUUUUAAUCUUGUGUCUUUUGCAGCUGUGGUUUAGCAGGAUCUCUGAGGAAACAAAGGCAAUCAGGACAUUUUAGGUUUAAAUUUCUGGCAGUGCUAAGUCUGUUGAGGUUCUCUCAGCUCAACAGGACUCUCAAGUGUGAGGUUGAGCUUUGCAAAGGGUGCUUGUGCGUGUCCCACUCUAAACCCAUCAGCUGCACUCUGUGAAUUUGCUCAGGGGCUGCAUUAAUGGGUACAUUAGCCACAGAUCUACAGUUUUGUAAGAGGAGAACAAAAAUUUAUAGCCCCUGUUUACUUAAUGGUAGGUCAAGAGGCCAGUCCUGCAAAUCACUUCUCAUUGUAGGUGCUUCAAUAUGGAAAAUAUUUCAGGGGAAUGCAUGCAGCAUUUUUUCUCUUCCUUUUUCUGUUUCUGUCUGCUGUUCUUUGAACUUGCAACACUGGAGGCCACAGAAACGUUUUGUGGGGAAUAUAAUCUCAGAAAGGAACAUUUGAUGGAAGAAACUUGUGCAAAUGAAAUGCUCUCUGUAAAAGGAAAUAAUUCAUGUCUUUUAGCUUUUCAAACGCAUCCUAACACUCCUGCUGGGUUCCUUUCACUGUGAAGUAAUGCAGAGGAUUAGUCAGCAUCAUCUAAUUAGGCAGCGGCAAAGCAAAAAUGGUGUUCAACAGCCUCUGCCCUGGUUCUGUUUCCAUUCAUAGGACUUGCCCAUGGAAGCCAAGGACAUCUGAGUGAUGGCACUGGAAAAGUUGGAGGGCUGUGAGGUGAGGUGUGCUCAAAUAGGAUUUCACCUGAGGAGGAAAUCCAAGGUCAUCCUCUGCAGUUUCUAUACCAGAACAGUCAUCCUGUGGUCCGAGUGAGUGUACAGGUAACUGCAGCACUUCCUUGUUCCUUAAUAGCUCUGGUGAUGUCAGAGCUUUAAUUCUGCUCCAUCCUGCUGGAAAAGACAGGAGUGAGACUUGCUGGACAGCAUUUUCUUCCUGUUCCUAUAGGUCUGUGCUGCUUUGGUGUGCAUAGUGGAUUGUCCUGUGAUGUAUCUGUGGCUGAAUUCCUUUAAAAUGUGCUUAGCAACAGUACCUGGCAGGCCUGAAAUGGGAGAGCUCACCUUGAAUUCUUUCUGGGUGGGCUGAUGGUAGAGUCCCAGCGUCCAAGAAAAUGGUAUUUUACAGUAUAACACACAGGGAGCAGGAGAAAUGGUUUGUUGAGAGAGGGUUCUCCUGGCCUUUCAUUUCACAGCAGCCCUUCAGCACGUGGCUAGCUGCACUGAAGGGCUCCCAGUGACCCUGGCCCUCACUGAGGAAUGCUGCCACUUCAGCUCACUUGGAUCACAAACUGGAUUUCACUUCUUUCUCAGUGGUUGGCACAGGAUUACUUAGAGCUGGGGAACUGGGGAAGAACAAGUUGGCCUCUUCCCAGUGAAGGUUAUUACUAUUAAGCUUUGCCCACUGGAGCAUUAGAUCAGCAUAAAGGAAGAAACUGAUCUUUUUUGUAUUGGGCUUUUAAAACAAACAAGCAAAACACUUUUCUUAUUAGAACAUGGGAGUUAUACCAGCAAUGCAGUUGACACUAAAUAGUUUUAAGCAGAAGACAUUGCUGUAGAUGAGAAUCAUCUGCAAUUAAUUGACAGAGCUGGGACAUGAGAGGGCACAGGAUGGAAAUGAAUUCUGCUUGUUUCUGUCCAAACUGAUUUUUUGGUGUGAAGUUGUUGAUCAAAUCAGCCUUAUUGCUGAUAGUUGAUAUUGAUAAUGAACCUAUAAAUUGUUCCAUUGUGACUUUUUGUGACUCCCAGUUUCAGUUAAGCUGAAUUUACAAGCUUAGCUCCUAGUCAUGUAUGGGAGGAAGGAUGUGUAUCCAAGACUCCCCAGUUCACUGCAAUGUCCAUUUUAGUGUCUGCGAGUCAGUCUGGCUCUUCUGACCAUGUUGCACAGGAGAAAAGAGGCAAAAUUCCCUUCUGGUACAGCUGCUAAGGAGCUCCUGGGAGGAAAGAGCUGUUGGGAAGUGGGAACCGUGAGACUUUGGUGAUGACAUGCUGCAGCCCUGGGAUGGUGUUGCUUUGGUUAGGGGGAUGAGGUGUAGAGGGAGCAUGUAGAUGGGAAACCACAGAACUGGGAAAAGGAAGCAACCAGGGCCAAAAAAAAAAAAAAAA